rfam:Fukomys damarensis contig152260, whole genome shotgun sequence.
AUCACUUCUAAGCCUUUUGGCUAAGAUCAAGUGUAAAAUAAGUUGAUUCAUUGAAAGAAAGAGACGGACAAGUUGAUAGAUAAUAAAGCAAUUUUUUUCAGUGCUGGUGAUCAAACCCAAGGCCUCACACGUUAGGCAAGCACUCUGCCACUGAGAUAUACUCCCGUCCCAAUGAGGCAAUUUUAA